rnacentral:tRNA from 1 species
GGUUUUGGCUCAGUGGUAGAGUGCUUGCCUAGCAUGUGUGAGGUACUGGGUUUGAUCCUCAGCACCA